rnacentral:rRNA from 1 species
GCACAAGCGGUGGAGCAUGUGGUUUAAUUUGAAGCAACGCGAAGAACCUUACCAGGUCUUGACAUCCUCUGACAAUCCUAGAGAUAGGACGUCCCCUUCGGGGGCAGAGUGACAGGUGGUGCAUGGUUGUCGUCAGCUCGUGUCGUGAGAUGUUGGGUUAAGUCCCGCAACGAGCGCAACCCUUGAUCUUAGUUGCCAGCAUUCAGUUGGGCACUCUAAGGUGACUGCCGGUGACAAACCGGAGGAAGGUGGGGAUGACGUCAAAUCAUCAUGCCCCUUAUGACCUGGGCUACACACGUGCUACAAUGGACAGAACAAAGGGCAGCGAAACCGCGAGGUUAAGCCAAUCCCACAAAUCUGUUCUCAGUUCGGAUCGCAGUCUGCAACUCGACUGCGUGAAGCUGGAAUCGCUAGUAAUCGCGGAUCAGCAUGCCGCGGUGAAUACGUUCCCGGGCCUUGUACACACCGCCCGUCACACCACGAGAGUUUGUAACACCCGAAGUCGGUGAGGUAACCUUUAUGGAGCCAGCCGCCGCAAAGGUGGGAACAAGGAAUG